GAGGUUCCAAAAUAUUUUGAAACCCACCACUGGUUCAGUGUUACCUAAAGAGGGUUCCUGUUCAAAGCCAAAUAAAUUGUUCCACAUUCUCCCCAGACUAGGGAACAGAGGUGGGUUGCUGCCAGUUCGGCCCGGAUCGGGUGAACUGGUAGUAGUGAUGGCGGGAGGUUCCGCCCAGCCAUCCACCCAGACGCUUCUGUGCAGGACCGUGCCCGAACCGGUAGUAAGAAAAUUGGCAACCCACCACUGCUAGGGAAGACUGAGAAUGUUUCUUUGUAAAGAAAGCCAGGGAUAUUUUAAACUGCACUUGAGGGCCUUUUGGGUGAGCUGAGGAGAUAACAGCUUCUAUUGUCCUACCACAAUCAAAACUUUCCAUCUCUGUUGGUGGUUUCCCAAACUGUAUAAAAUUAAGAAAACGGCAUAGAAAAUACUUAACAUUUUGCAGGAACUUGGAUGGGGAGAACACAGAAGGUUAGUCUGAAUCUUCCCCAGAGGUAGCACAUGCAGAGGCAUAUGUUUUCUUCACACUGUAUCUUUGUACAAUGUCAUUGUUUUUCCCACAUUGCUUUUUGGCCUUGGAAAUAACACAGAUUAUAGUUUAACUGAUUAUUUUGUUUACUGCUCUGGAAGAACGGUACGAAUAACUGAAUAUUGAGGUAUACUUUGGACAGGCCUACCUCCAGAGGUGGGGCAGGGAACAAUUACCUCAUUCCUUUCCCACCUCUUUCCACCAUGCAAACUUCAUGGAAAUCUGCUUCCCUGUUGUUUAUCUCUACAGUCUAAUCAUGAGAUAUUACAUUGCUGUAGCUUAGUAGGUUUUAAUUUCUUAGCACUUGAAGCAGCACAGAGCAACUCUGGUGGGAAGAAAACCCAGAGUGAAAUUCUUUUCAGAGCAGAACACAAUGCCGGACACUUGAAGAUGCCAUCCCUUCAUUAUAUUAUUUCUGGCCACUAUCCUAAAUCAAAGGUCAGCAUAAUUUAAUCCAGAAAUGUUGAUCCCAAGAAUCAGGGAAACAGUGCUGUGACCAGGUAGCAGCAUUUUUUGAUUUGUGUUGUUGUAUCAUAGCAGUUGUGCAGGAUAAGAAUUUUGAUUUGUUUUGGUUAUGUUGUAUGUUUCUAAGAGCAAUCGCCUUUACACAUCAAGGAAAAGCCAAAUGAGGAAUGAGAACAUCAUACUGAUAACAAUAAUUUAAAUACCAAUUAAUGUAUGGAUAUAUUAGUUUUUCUGCAUAGAGCUUCUAUUCUCCGAUACAUUCUUUGGGAACCUCCUAUGAGUUUGGUAGACAUGAAUGACAAGCCAAUAAACUUAUUUGACAGUUGGACUCAAGUCUCAGCCUCCACAGUCUGACUGUGGCUCUCCAACAAGCUUGCAGGCAUCUUGAUGUCCCAAUAAUCCAGUCCCUCCUUUCCCAGCUUGUUUCAGCAAUUGGUAUAAACUGUUCCAAUAUGUGCUCUUUGUUUUAUUCUUUGCUUCUCUGCUAAUAAUCCUUCCUUCCUUACUGGACAGGCUCCAGCAGUGACAGGUGUCUGGACUGAUAAGACAAGGAGAGAGGGAGGGAGGGAGAAAACAAGAAACUGCAAAUCUAAGGAAUCUGAAGGUGGAGGGAAAAAAUCAGCUUGAGUCGCUACAAAUGCAGCCAUGAUGGGGCUAAGACUAGAAAAGAAAAUCUGAGGCUAUGGGGCAGAGCAGCGGAAAUAAGAGAGCCUGGUUUAUGAGUGAGUGGAAUAUAGAUACUGGUGAGGAUGGCUGAAAGGGAAAGAAGCCAUGGGAUUACCAGGAAAGCUAAAAAUUAAAUUGCUUACCACCAUCACAGGGGAUAGAAAUGGUACUGCAGGAAUGGCUUUCAAAUAGCACAGAACUACAAUCCCAGGGAGUCCUAAACAAUAUAAUAAAUUACAAAUGUUGAUGGGAGUUGUAGUUUUGCAAAUAUCUAUAGGCUCACAGGUUUCAGCUAUGCUAGGAUGACAGAAGGGGGUUAGAAAAACAUAUAUUCCUUUUUAUUUUUGCUCUGCCUUCUACUUCAUUUACUCUUUCUCCCCCUUUCAGUUGCUUCAUACCACGGCUUUCCUAAUUUUCAUUCAAUGUUUACAUUCUGGUUGUUUGUUUUUACUUCUAAUGCAUUUCUCCUGCUUGGCCUGGCCUGGUCAUUGCCCCAUUUUACUUAUUCUGUUGCUGCUACUUUUCCUUCCUUCCAACUCCUGUUGCAGCAAGCAUAACAAGAUUAAGGGGAAUAAAGGGACUUGUCUCUGGAAUGGGAUUAGUUCUGGAUAAAGAAGCAAACAUGCAUAAGGCAAAAAACUGUGCUCCUGGAGUGAAAAGUGAAAUAGGAAAAAGCUCUGAAAUAUGACCCAUCCCAAGAAUCCUUCCAUUCCCCACCAUCCCCGGU